rnacentral:rRNA from 1 species
GAUGAACGCUGGCGGCGUGCCUAAUGCAUGCAAGUCGAGCGAACGGACGAGAAGCUUGCUUCUCUGAUGUUAGCGGCGGACGGGUGAGUAACACGUGGAUAACCUACCUAUAAGACUGGGAUAACUUCGGGAAACCGUAGCUAAUACCGGAUAAUAUUUUGAACCGCAUGGUUCAAAAGUGAAAGACGGUCUUGCUGUCACUUAUAGAUGGAUCCGCGCUGCAUUAGCGAGUUGGUAAGGUAACGGCACACCAAGGCAACGAUGCGUAGCCGACCUGAGAGGAUGAUCAGCCACAAUGGAACUGAGACACGGUCCAGACUCCGACGGGAGGCAGAAGUGGGGAAUAUUGGACAAUGGGCGAAAGCCUGAUCCAGCCAUACCGCGUGAGUGAAGAAGGCCUUCGGGUUGUAAAGCACUUUUGUUGGGAAAGAAAAGCAGCAGGUUAAUACCCCGCUGUUCUGACGUUACCCAAAGAAUAAGCACCGGCUAACUUCGUG